rnacentral:lncRNA from 1 species
GCUUCUGCCAAAAAUACCUGUGGAUCACGUUUAAUACACUGUGGUAUAUGCUUAAACCUUGACACAAUGGGAAAAACACUACAACUUAAUAUUGAAUGAGAGGGUUGAGCACUGAGAAUGUCUGGAAUAAAGAGGUAAAGAUCUACACAGGGAGUGGUCAAACACUUUCAUUUCCUGGGAAUAGUAUAAAAGAUUCUGCAUUCUAGAUAAACCUCUUUUCAUAGACUGAAUCC